GGAUUGUAGCUCAGUGAUAGAGCUCUCGCUUAGUCUGUGCAAGGCCCUGGGUUCGAUCCUCAGCACCA
rnacentral:tRNA from 1 species